rnacentral:rRNA from 1 species
UUAACACAUGCAGGUCGAGGGGCAUCAGGAAGAAAGCUUGCUUUCUUUGCUGGCGACCGGCGCACGGGUGAGUAACACGUAUCCAACCUGCCCUUUACUCGGGGAUAGCCUUUCGAAAGAAAGAUUAAUACCCGAUAGCAUAAUGAUUCCGCAUGGUUUCAUUAUUAAAGGAUUCCGGUAAAGGAUGGGGAUGCGUUCCAUUAGGUUGUUGGUGAGGUAACGGCCCACCAAGCCUUCGAUGGAUAGGGGUUCUGAGAGGAAGGUCCCCCACAUUGGAACUGAGACACGGUCCAAACUCCUACGGGAGGCAGCAGUGAGGAAUAUUGGUCAAUGGGCGCUAGCCUGAACCAGCCAAGUAGCGUGAAGGAUGAAGGCUCUAUGGGUCGUAAACUUCUUUUAUAUAAGAAUAAAGUGCAGUAUGUAUACUGUUUUGUAUGUAUUAUAUGAAUAAGGAUCGGCUAACUCCGUGCCAGCAGCCGCGGUAAUACGGAGGAUCCGAGCGUUAUCCGGAUUUAUUGGGUUUAAAGGGAGCGUAGGUGGACUGGUAAGUCAGUUGUGAAAGUUUGCGGCUCAACCGUAAAAUUGCAGUUGAUACUGUCAGUCUUGAGUACAGUAGAGGUGGGCGGAAUUCGUGGUGUAGCGGUGAAAUGCUUAGAUAUCACGAAGAACUCCGAUUGCGAAGGCAGCUCACUGGACUGCAACUGACACUGAUGCUCGAAAGUGUGGGUAUCAAACAGGAUUAGAUACCCUGGUAGUCCACACAGUAAACGAUGAAUACUCGCUGUUUGCGAUAUACAGUAAGCGGCCAAGCGAAAGCAUUAAGUAUUCCACCUGGGGAGUACGCCGGCAACGGUGAAACUCAAAGGAAUUGACAGGGGCCCGCACAAGCGGAGGAACAUGUGGUUUAAUUCGAUGAUACGCGAGGAACCUUACCCGGGCUUAAAUUGCAGUGGAAUGAUGUGGAAACAUGUCAGUGAGCAAUCACCGCUGUGAAGGUGCUGCAUGGUUGUCGUCAGCUCGUGCCGUGAGGUGUCGGCUUAAGUGCCAUAACGAGCGCAACCCUUAUCUUUAGUUACUAACAGGUUAUGCUGAGGACUCUAGAGAGACUGCCGUCGUAAGAUGUGAGGAAGGUGGGGAUGACGUCAAAUCAGCACGGCCCUUACGUCCGGGGCUACACACGUGUUACAAUGGGGGGGUACAGAAGGCAGCUAGCGGGUGACCGUAUGCUAAUCCCAAAAUCCUCUCUCAGUUCGGAUCGAAGUCUGCAACCCGACUUCGUGAAGCUGGAUUCGCUAGUAAUCGCGCAUCAGCCACGGCGCGGUGAAUACGUUCCCGGGCCUUGUACACACCGCCCGUCAAGCCAUGGGAGCCGGGGGUACCUGAAGUACGUAACCGCAAGGAUCGUCCUAGGGUAAAACUGGUGACUGGGGCU